rnacentral:rRNA from 1 species
UAGUAACGGCGAGUGAAGCGGCAACAGCUCAAAUUUGAAAUCUGGCUCUCGGGCCCGAGUUGUAAUUUGUAGAGGAUACUUUUGAUGCGGUGCCUUCCGAGUUCCCUGGAACGGGACGCCAUAGAGGGUGAGAGCCCCGUCUGGUUGGAUGCCAAAUCUCUGUAAAGUUCCUUCGACGAGUCGAGUAGUUUGGGAAUGCUGCUCUAAAUGGGAGGUAUAUGUCUUCUAAAGCUAAAUACCGGCCAGAGACCGAUAGCGCACAAGUAGAGUGAUCGAAAGAUGAAAAGCACUUUGAAAAGAGAGUUAAAAAGUACGUGAAAUUGUUGAAAGGGAAGCGUUUAUGACCAGACUUGGGCUUGGUUAAUCAUCUGGGGUUCUCCCCAGUGCACUUUUCCAGUCCAGGCCAGCAUCAGUUUUCCCCGGGGGAUAAAGACUUCGGGAAUGUGGCUCUCUUCGGGGAGUGUUAUAGCCCGUUGUGUAAUACCCUGGGGGGGACUGAGGUUCGCGCAUCUGCAAGGAUGCUGGAGUAAUG